GAUGAACGCUGGCAGCGUGCCUAAUACAUGCAAGUCGAACGCUGGAAAUCUAGCUUGCUAGAUUGAUGGAGUGGCGAACGGGUGAGUAAUACAUAAGCAACCUACCCACGAAGACUGGGAAAAUCCCUGGAAACGGGGACUAAUACCGGAUAGGUAAUCGGAAGGCAUCUCCUGAUUAUUAAAGGUUAAAAACACUGGUGGAUGGGCUGAUUGCGCAUUAGUUAGUUGGUGAGGUAACGGCCCACCAAGACGAUGAUGCGUAGCCGGCCUGAGGGGGUGAACGCCCACAUUGGGACUGGGACACGGCCCAGACUCCUACGGGAGGCAGCAGUAGGGAAUUUUCGGCAAUGGAGGAUACCCUGACCGAGCCACGCCGCGUGAAGGAUGACGGCCUUCGGGUUGUAAAGCUCUGUUGUAAGGGAAGAACGGUAGAUAGAGAAUAUCUAAAUGACGGUACCUUACCAAAAAGCCACGGCUAACUACGUG
rnacentral:rRNA from 1 species